AAGUCGUAACAAGGUCUCCGUAGGUGAACCUGCGGAGGGAUCAUUACUGAGUUAUUACAACUCCAACCCAUGUGAACUUACCACUGUUGCCUCGGCGCAGAGGCCUGCUGAGGACCUGUCCUCGGUGGGUGGACGCGCCGGUGGACUACUAAACUCUUGUUAAUUUUGUUAUUCUGAAUAAAAAACUUAAUAAGUUAAAACUUUCAACAACGGAUCUCUUGGUUCUGGC
rnacentral:misc_RNA from 1 species